AUGGUACUUCCUCCGUCCGAAAAUAUUUGUCAUCGAAAAGAAUAAAAAAAGAUGUAUCUAAAUGUAUUUUAGUUCUAGAUACACCAUUUUUCAUUCAUUUUGAUGACAAGUAUUUUCGAACGGAGGAAGUACUAA
rfam:Triticum urartu cultivar G1812 contig953603, whole genome shotgun sequence.